rnacentral:rRNA from 1 species
UACGAAGGGGGCUAGCGUUGCUCGGAAUCACUGGGCGUAAAGCGCACGUAGGCGGAUUGUUAAGUCAGGGGUGAAAUCCUGGAGCUCAACUCCAGAACUGCCUUUGAUACUGAGGAUCUUGAGUUCGGGAGAGGUGAGUGGAACUGCGAGUGUAGAGGUGAAAUUCGUAGAUAUUCGCAAGAACACCAGUGGCGAAGGCGGCUCACUGGCCCGGUACUGACGCUGAGGUGCGAAAGCGUGGGAGCAACAGG